UGGGGAAUAUUGCACAAUGGAGGAAACUCUGAUGCAGCAACGCCGCGUGAGUGAUGAAGGUCUUCGGAUCGUAAAACUCUGUCUUAUGGGACGAUAAUGACGGUACCAUAGGAGGAAGCCACGGCUAACUACGUG
rnacentral:rRNA from 1 species